rnacentral:rRNA from 1 species
UGUGUAGGUGGCGCGCUAAGUCGGGUGUGAAAUUUCGGAGCUUAACUCCGAAACUGCAUUCGAUACUGGCGUGCUUGAGGACUGGAGAGGAGACUGGAAUUUACGGUGUAGCAGUGAAAUGCGUAGAUAUCGUAAGGAAGACCAGUGGCGAAGGCGGGUCUCUGGACAGUUCCUGACGCUGAGGCACGAAGGUCAGGGGAGCAAACG